UGUGGGGCUCGUUGGAGAUUCUCCGGGGACCCUUCCGUAUCUGCAUAGGCAUUUUGCUGUCUCCUCCUAAUACGUUUGAUGAUCUUAUGGCGGAGAAGGAAGCUGUAUCUUCAAAAUGUGUCAAUUUGGCUAAAGAGAAUCAAGUUUUUCAACAGGAGUUAUUAUCUAUGAAAAAAGUACAACAGGAAUGUGAAAAACUUGAGGAAGAUAAAAAGAUGUUGGAAGAAGAAAUAUUAAAUCUUAAGACACAUAUGGAAAACAGUAUGGUAGAACUUAGUAAACUACAAGAAUAUAAAUCAGAGCUAGAUGAAAGGGCAAUGCAGGCAGUAGAAAAAUUAGAAGAAAUCCAUUUACAGGAACAAGCACAAUAUAAAAAACAAUUAGAGCAGUUAAACAAGGAUAUCAUACAGCUUCACUAAAUAAGAAGGAACUCACACUUAAAGAUGUGGAUUGUAAAUUCUACAAAAUGAAAACUGCUUAUGAAGAGGUUACAACUGAGUUAGAAGAAUAUAAGGAAGCCUUUGCAGCAGCAUUGAAAGCUAACAGUUCCAUGUCAAAAAAAUUAACUAAAUCGAAUAAGAAAAUAGCAAUGAUCAGUAUCAGCUCUUUAUGGAGAAAGAGCAGGUGAAAUAUUUUCUCAGCACUCUUCCUACAAGCUGUUGCUGUAUUGGACACUUGCUCCCAUCUACUUUCUUCUCUAGAAUCCACGGGUAAGCCACAUCUAAUGAAGAGAAUAUUUAACCAUAAAGUCUUAAGGAAAAAUUCUAUGAUGAUUUAAAAGAUUAUAAAACUUUAUUACUGGGCUAUUUACACAUUUUAAUUGUUUCUCAUAAAAUAUAUAACAUUCCAAUAUUUACUGAAGUAGGAUAUUUUUGUAUCAUAUGUAUGAUUAUAAUUUAUAGGAUAUUUUAAAUGAUGUUUUUUGGCCUCCUUAAGUUUUAAGUGGAUCUUGCAAAUGAAAACCAGUAUUAUUGAGUUUGACAUACUCAAAUUGCCCAAAUUUCAGCUGUUUAAACAACCAAGUCAUCAUUGAUACUUUAGUAAAGGUUAGUAAAUGUCAUCGAAGGCUUAUUUGCAUUUUACAGUUUUUAUUACUUAGGAGAGUUAAGGAGUACCUGCCAGGUUUGUCCAUGCUAAUGUUACAAUUUUCUUUUUGUAGUUCAACCGUAUUUUGUAUGGAGAUACUUUGAGGCUCUGUAAAUAUCUGGUUACUCCUCAGAACCCACUAGAUUUAGCAUUUCAUGGAUGACUUGUGUUUGAACAAUUAUUACUAUGAUGGUUACCAGAUGAUUAUUUUCUUAUUCUCUUCUUUGUUCUACAUGGAGAAAUAAAACCAAUAAAUAAGGGAGAAAGAAAGCUCAUGAUUCUGAUGCUCCAAUUCCCCAAGAUUAGGCCAGUAGUAGACAUUCCAAGCUGACUUUAUGUCUCUUUGAUUUGUCUCCAUUACUCUGUCGGCACUUU